rnacentral:rRNA from 1 species
UACGUAGGUCCCGAGCGUUGUCCGGAUUUAUUGGGCGUAAAGCGAGCGCAGGUGGUUUAUUAAGUCUGGUGUAAAAGGCAGUGGCUCAACCAUUGUAUGCAUUGGAAACUGGUAGACUUGAGUGCAGGAGAGGAGAGUGGAAUUCCAUGUGUAGCGGUGAAAUGCAUAGAUAUAUGGAGGAACACCGGUGGCGAAAGCGGCUCUCUGGCCUGUAACUGACACUGAGGCUCAAAAGCGUGGGGAGCAAACAGG